AUCUCACUUGAAAUCUAAACAAAUUUGCGUAUCUAGCUAGCUUAAUUUUCCUCCUAACUAAACUGAAUUUCUACAUAUAGUACAUCAACAAUGCUUCUGUCCUCUCUCAAUUGUGUAUAAAAAAAAGAAAAGAAAGAAGAAAAAAGAGCAUUCUGAUAGUACAAAAUUAUAUUGAGCAUGCAUAUUUUUUAACAAAUACUAAUACAGCCAUAUCAAACCGGGGACAGGGAGAAAUUAAAGAAUGAAGAGUAGCACUAGCAUAGGAAAUAUAAAAUAUUGAGGUGAAGAUUAAUUUAAAGAAAGUCAUAACACAAAGUAAUCUAAGUACAUGCAUGUAUGUGACCCUAAUGACUAUGACUGAACUAUUAUGAGGACUACAAUUGUUUAGACGAUGACUAUGACGACUAAGAAACUGACAACAUAUCUCUAUAUUGGAAUUUAAUUGAUUAUUUAAAGUACAUCUCCAACAACACCCCAAAAAAUUUGAAAUUAUAUAUCAUAAUUGUAACGCCCCGAAAAUUAAAAGAAAACGUAUAUAUAAAAAUUCUAAGUGCGGAAGCGAAAUAAAAUAUUAUGAUUAACAUCCCUUACACAAUAACCAAAACGUAUUAAACAUAUGAAAGAAUAAGUUAACUAAAGUAAAUACUAGAAAUGAAUACUAUAAGGAAAACUAUAAAAUCUUUAGGCAUCUACUCGCCAUCUUCUUGCGGAACGAGCUCGGGAACAAAGUCCUCUUAUCUGAAAUGGUUAAGUAAGGAAUGAGCUACACUAGCCCAGUAAAGAUGUCACACUAUCUCACUGUCACAGAAGUAAAGGUUGGUAGAAAACAAAAACGACCAAUGGAGCAUAAUUUAUAACAAAUUGAUUUAUCAACAAUAAAAUCCUUUAUUGUCCACUUACCUCGGUGAGAUUCAUGAAAACAACUUAUGAAAAUAAUAACAUUAUAAUAUCAUGAAAUCAUACGCACUCCGUAACAUAACACAUGUCAUACUUCUAAUAUUUCAAUCAUCAGACAAUAAAUUUCCUCUUUUACCAGCCUACUAGUAUCCAUGGGGAUCCAUAGGGGUCCCCACUAUACGUGAACCAUUCACCUUAAUAACUUAACUCCAGGGCC
rnacentral:lncRNA from 1 species